CCACCACCAAAGCAUUUGCUGUACCGCGUUGACGGAGCGAAGCGACGUCAAACCGAUAAAACAGCAGUGUAAAGUGAGCCGCAGGGCGCUUUGCGCGACAGCGCAAAGGCAGGCGGUUUCGCGUAGCGAAAGCGAAUGCUUUGGGGUGGGGUGACUGCGUACCUUUUGUAUAAUGGGUCAGCGACUUAUAUUCUGUAGCAAGGUUAACCGAAUAGGGGAGCCGGAGGGAAACCGAGUCUUAAUUGGGCGUUAAGUUGCAGGGUAUAGACCCGAAACCCGGUGAUCUAGCCAUGGGCAGGUUGAAGGUUGGGUAACACUAACUGGAGGACCGAACCGACUAAUGUUGAAAAAUUAGCGGAUGACCUGUGGCUGGGGGUGAAAGGCCAAUCAAACCGGGAGAUAGCUGGUUCUCCCCGAAAGCUAUUUAGGUAGCGCCUCGUGAAUUCAUCUCCGGGGGUAGAGCACUGUUUCGGCUAGGGGGCCAUCCCGGCUUACCAACCCGAUGCAAACUGCGAAUACCGGAGAAUGUUAUCACGGGAGACACACGGCGGGUGCUAACGUCCGUCGUGAAGAGGGAAACAACCCAGACCGCCAGCUAAGGUCCCAAAGUCAUGGUUAAGUGGGAAACGAUGUGGGAAGGCCCAGACAGCCAGGAUGUUGGCUUAGAAGCAGCCAUCAUUUAAAGAAAGCGUAAUAGCUCACUGGUCGAGUCGGCCUGCGCGGAAGAUGUAACGGGGCUAAACCAUGCACCGAAGCUGCGGCAGCGACACUGUGUGUUGUUGGGUAGGGGAGCGUUCUGUAAGCCUGCGAAGGUGGCCUGUGAGGGUUGCUGGAGGUAUCAGAAGUGCGAAUGCUGACAUAAGUAACGAUAAAGCGGGUGAAAAGCCCGCUCGCCGGAAGACCAAGGGUUCCUGUCCAACGUUAAUCGGGGCAGGGUGAGUCGACCCCUAAGGCGAGGCCGAAAGGCGUAGUCGAUGGGAAACGGGUUAAUAUUCCCGUACUUGGUGUUACUGCGAAGGGGGGACGGAGAAGGCUAUGUUGGCCGGGCGACGGUUGUCCCGGUUUAAGCGUGUAGGUGUGUGUUCCAGGUAAAUCCGGUUCACUUUAACACUGAGGCGUGACGACGAGGCACUACGGUGCUGAAGCAACAAAUGCCCUGCUUCCAGGAAAAGCCUCUAAGCAUCAGGUAACAUCAAAUCGUACCCCAAACCGACACAGGUGGUCAGGUAGAGAAUACCAAGGCGCUUGAGAGAACUCGGGUGAAGGAACUAGGCAAAAUGGUGCCGUAACUUCGGGAGAAGGCACGCUGACACGUAGGUGAAGUGAUUUACUCAUGGAGCUGAAGUCAGUCGAAGAUACCAGCUGGCUGCAACUGUUUAUUAAAAACACAGCACUGUGCAAACACGAAAGUGGACGUAUACGGUGUGACGCCUGCCCGGUGCCGGAAGGUUAAUUGAUGGGGUCAGCGCAAGCGAAGCUCCUGAUCGAAGCCCCGGUAAACGGCGGCCGUAACUAUAACGGUCCUAAGGUAGCGAAAUUCCUUGUCGGGUAAGUUCCGACCUGCACGAAUGGCGUAAUGAUGGCCAGGCUGUCUCCACCCGAGACUCAGUGAAAUUGAACUCGCUGUGAAGAUGCAGUGUACCCGCGGCAAGACGGAAAGACCCCGUGAACCUUUACUAUAGCUUGACACUGAACAUUGAGCCUUGAUGUGUAGGAUAGGUGGGAGGCUUUGAAGUGUGGACGCCAGUCUGCAUGGAGCCGACCUUGAAAUACCACCCUUUAAUGUUUGAUGUUCUAACGUGGACCCGUUACCCGGGUUGCGGACAGUGUCUGGUGGGUAGUUUGACUGGGGCGGUCUCCUCCUAAAGAGUAACGGAGGAGCACGAAGGUUGGCUAAUCCUGGUCGGACAUCAGGAGGUUAGUGCAAUGGCAUAAGCCAGCUUGACUGCGAGCGUGACGGCGCGAGCAGGUGCGAAAGCAGGUCAUAGUGAUCCGGUGGUUCUGAAUGGAAGGGCCAUCGCUCAACGGAUAAAAGGUACUCCGGGGAUAACAGGCUGAUACCGCCCAAGAGUUCAUAUCGACGGCGGUGUUUGGCACCUCGAUGUCGGCUCAUCACAUCCUGGGGCUGAAGUAGGUCCCAAGGGUAUGGCUGUUCGCCAUUUAAAGUGGUACGCGAGCUGGGUUUAGAACGUCGUGAGACAGUUCGGUCCCUAUCUGCCGUGGGCGCUGGAGAACUGAGGGGGGCUGCUCCUAGUACGAGAGGACCGGAGUGGACGCAUCACUGGUGUUCGGGUUGUCAUGCCAAUGGCACUGCCCGGUAGCUAAAUGCGGAAGAGAUAAGUGCUGAAAGCAUCUAAGCACGAAACUUGCCCCGAG
rnacentral:rRNA from 3 species